UUUAACUGAAGAGUUUGAUCAUGGCUCAGAUUGA
rnacentral:rRNA from 1 species